AUGUUUAAAUUAUUUGUUUUUAAAUCUCCCUUUGUCCUUUCAGGGGGCUUUCAGGAGACAGGAAAGCUAACUGCACCAGUCUGCCAUCUUAAAUCUGAACCGAAUCUGCAUUUCUAUAGGUCACUCCGGUGGAGGAUCUGUACUGCAGUUAGGAGAGAGAAUGGAGACACUCGCAGUUUCAAAAGUGCCAUUCCUUCCAGAAACACUGACACCUUAAGCUGUGUAACCCGGGACUUCUGGAGGGUCCCCAAGUCUCGGGGGAUAAGCAAUCCUGGAGGGGGCCUCGCAUUGAAAACAGCCUGAUGUUCUCAGUCACUGCUUGCAAAACAGCUGCCCUAGGGAAACACCUG
rnacentral:lncRNA from 13 species